AUUGAACGCUGGCGGCAGGCCUAACACAUGCAAGUCGAGCGAGCGGCGGACGGGUGAGUAAUGUAUGGGGACUGCCCGAUAGAGGGGGAUAACUACUGGAAACGGUGGCUAAUACCGCAUACUAUCGGAUAACCCAUAUGGGAUUGGCUAGUAGGUGGGGUAAAGGGUCACCUAGGCGACGAUCGCUAGCUGGUCUGAGAGGAUGGUCAGCCACAUUGGGACUGGGACACGGCCCAGACUCCUGCGGAGGCAGCAGUGGGGAAUAUUGCACAUUGGGCGCAAGCCUGAUGCAGCCAUGGCGCGUGUAUGAGGCAGGCCUUAGGGUUGUAAAGUACUUUCAGCGGGGAGGCGGUAGCCGCAGAAGAAGCACCGGCUAACUCCGUGCCAGCAGCCGCGGUAAUAC
rnacentral:rRNA from 1 species